AUUGUUGCCUGUAAAUAAAAGAAAAAGCAAAAGCUAAGUGUGUGGGAGCUGUUAAGUCAUGGCCUGAACCACUGAGUGAUCACCUGGGGAAAGGACCUGGGAGCACAGGUGAGGGCAGUUCACCUGUGUGAUGGGAAGGAGUGGAUCCUAGCUGCGCCUCUUAAACCUCAUUUAAGGGCUGACUGCCAUUCAGGAAGACUGCUAUUCAUUUCUGGAGAUCCCUCCCUGGUGGAGCUUUCCCCUGCAAACCUGGAAUCUUCUGAUAUGGCACAGCUAUGGAGGUGGAACAAUCUUGCAUGGAAUGCUUGUAUCUCUUUCUACGACUACUAGAGUGGUGUGCUGGUGAAAUUAUAUUCUUUCCACCAUUGUAUAACAGAAAGGAAACAUUCCAGAUUUACAAGGUGUAGUAGAAAUGCUAAGUGACGGCCUGAAGCAGUGAUUGAACACCUGGUGAGAAGGCAGGGCAACCCAGGGGAGCUCAGGAUCCACCAUUUCCCAGACCUCAUGUAAGGGUUGGCAGUGGAGGUGAGGAUAUCUUGUUGGAGAUCCCUACCUACCUGAGGCAUUCCAAAGGGUAAGCAGCUUCUUUCCUUUAUUUCUGUGACCAUGACUGUUGCAUGUGAGCAAAUACUCGCUUGUUGCAGCCUGGGACUUUGCUACUCUGCUGUCGUUGCUCCAUCGCAUUACACAAGGGCUCAAGAGCAUUGAUUGUCUCUUAUGUUAUGUUUGGACAUGGCACCUUUCAGUUUAUAUACUGAUAUUUCUCUGUUGACCUUACACCAAGACUAAGUAUGUGACUCUAGUGAAAUUGUGUGUGAGCCUAAACAGGUUUUUCAUAAACUGCUGCAGAAGUUAGUAGAGGAGUUUCUUUUGUUUUUAAGCCUGCUGUGAAGAAAAGCCUGUUUGACCUCUGAAAUAAAUGAAAAGAGCGUUCAAAAAACACCUAUGUUCUCCUUCUGGUCACUUCCAUAUUUUUAACAAAUACGGUAGUGCAACAUAAAUAUGUUGAAUUAUGUCACUGACUUAAAUGGACAUUUUUAAAUUCAGAUAUUAUUUUAAGGGUGAAAAUCAACGGUGGAACAGUAUUUGCUUGUUUAUAAUGGUCAGGACUCAUGCAGCAGUUGAAUUCUGCAGUUACUAAGAACAGUUUCACACAAGCUUAUUUGUUUUAUGAGCAUAAGGGUUUGAUUUCUCAGACAGUCCCUUGAGAGAUUAGACUUGGCCGCAACAGUAGCCUCGAAGUGUUUCAUUGAUCCCCUUGCAUCUGGUGAGUAUUAAUGUGGAAUGAAAUAAAGACUUGUUUACGCUGUACAUGUAUAUUUGUAUCUUGCCUUAAGAAUGAAAGUGAAGGCUAGAGCAGCUUUAGCUACCUUCAGAUUCCUAGAGCACAUGCUGACCUAAUGCCUCUUCAUAAGGUGUUUACUUUAACUCCUUCAUGUUUUUCACCCUGAAAGGAAACAUAGUGGAGAUAUGUGCACCUGUAUCAAGUGCAUUUUAGAAUGCUGUUGUGUGUACUGUAAUUCCUCUGAAAAAUGUGUUCCUCUUUGUAGCAUGUGUGCUCAGAUAUGUUAUGUUCCCUUUUCACAUUGCCUUCCUCUCUGGUCAAUUCCCAGGAGCACUCAAAUACUCCUAUGUAUUGUACUCAAUACUAUAUGAAUCCCCAGUGCUUUAGUUGCACUUAUGAAGGCAUGGCAAAUGUGAUGUUGUGUGAGUUGUGUCUAUAGCCCUUUAAAUAGUAGGGUGCCGUAGAUUGAAUGAAUGACUGGUUAUUAUUGGUCUAUGUGGUACUAUGUGGAUAGAGAAUUAAGAAUUAUUUGCGAAAAAGUUGUAUGAGGAGCACGCUAUCCUGUUUGCAAUCCAAAGUUCAAGUUCAGUGAGGAGGUGCUCAGCGUAAUAAAAUAUUUUUUUCUGAAGGUCCUGAAGCUGCAUGCAUUGAACGUGUGGUUAAUAUUCUAUAUAUGAAUAAUUUAAUCACUUUCAAUUAGAUUUUAAACAUAUACUUAAAGUAAAUGCCUGAAUACUUCACUGAAUUGAGUACUACAUAAUGUUCCUAGUAAUCAGUGAUGAAUGUAAGAAACCAAUGUGUUUUCCUUAAUCUGAGACGCUAAGGGUAACUAUUUCAUAAUUGUGCUUAAGCACUGGUAGACUUUGUCACAUGUAU